rnacentral:rRNA from 1 species
GAGUUUGAUCAUGGCUCAGAUUGAACGCUGGCGGAAUGCUUUACACAUGCAAGUCGAGCGGCAGCGCGGGGCAACCUGGCGGCGAGCGGCGAACGGGUGAGUAAUGCAUCGGAACAUGUCCAUGUCGUGGGGGAUAGCCCGGCGAAAGCCGGAUUAAUACCGCAUACGCCCGAGAGGGGAAAGUGGGGACCGCAAGGCCUCACGCGAUUGGGUUGGCCGAUGUCCGAUUAGCUAGUUGGCGGGGUAAGAGCCCACCAAGGCGAUGAUCGGUAGCUGGUCUGAGAGGAUGAUCAGCCACACUGGGACUGAGACACGGCCCAGACUCCUACGGGAGGCAGCAGUGGGGAAUUUUGGACAAUGGGGGCAACCCUGAUCCAGCCAUUCCGCGUGAGUGAAGAAGGCCUUCGGUUGUAAGCUC